rnacentral:rRNA from 1 species
CCUUGUACACACCGCCCGUCACGUCACGAAAGUCGGUAACACCCGAAGCCAGUGGCUCAACCUCGUAAGGGGAGGGAGCUGUCGAAGGUGGGAUCGGCGAUUGGGACG